rnacentral:rRNA from 1 species
GACGAACGCUGGCGGCGUGCUUAAUACAUGCAAGUCGAACGGAAAGGCCCUGCUUUUGUGGGGUUCUCGAUUGGCGAACGGGUGAGUAACACGUGAGUAACCUGCCCCUGACUUUCGGAUAACUUCUGGAAACUGGGGCUAAUACCCGGUAGGAUCUCCUGCUGCAUGGUGGGGGUUGGAAAGUUUCGGCGGUUCGGGAUGGACUCGCGGGUUACCCGCUUGUUGGGGUGGUAGUGGAUUACGAAGGGUUUGAAGGGUAGCCGGCCUGAGAGGGUGACCGGCGACCAUGGGACUGAGAUACGGAGCAGAAGGGUACGGGAGGCAACGGGGGGGAAUAUGGCGGAACAGGCGGGAGCGUGAUAUGACAGCCCCGCGAGCGGAAUGACGGCCUACGGGGUAUGAACAGCUUUCGAAUGAGACGUAGCGUGAGUGACGGUAAUGGAUAAAAAAGCACCGGCUAACUACGUG